rnacentral:rRNA from 1 species
UACGGAGGAUCCAAGCGUUAUCCGGAUUUAUUGGGCUUAAAGGGUGCGUAGGUGGCCUGUUAAGUCAGGGGUGAAAGACGGUAGCUUAACUAUCGCAGUGCCCUUGAUACUGAUGGGCUUGAAUGAACUAGAGGUAGGCGGAAUGUGACAAGUAGCGGUGAAAUGCAUAGAUAUGCCACAGAACACCAAUUGCGAAGGCAGCUUACUAUGGUUUUAUUGACACUGAGGCACGAAAGCGUGGGGAUCAAACAGG